UACAGGGGGUGCAAACGUUGCUCGGAAUCAUUGGGCGUAAAGCGCACGUAGGCGGUUCGUUAUGUCGGAUGUGAAAGCCCUUGGCUUAACCGAGGAAGUGCAUCCGAAACUGGCGAGCUAGAGUACUAAAGAGGAUCGCGGAAUUCCCGGUGUAGAGGUGAAAUUCGUAGAUAUCAGGAGGAACACCGGUGGCGAAGGCGGCGAUCUGGGUAGAUACUGACGCUGAGGUGCGAAAGCGUGGGGAGCAAACAGG
rnacentral:rRNA from 1 species